rnacentral:rRNA from 1 species
UCUAAUAGAAACUUUCUUAACCUAAGCAGUACAAUGGCUCACAUCAUUAAAACUUUAAAAUUGUGGCGGCAGCUUAAGCACUCAGGGGAACUUACCAUGUAAUUGAUAACCAACAAGAGACCUUUACCUGUCCUCAUAAUUAGUAUACCGCCGUCUUUAAACUCUCCUGAGGAGAGUUUAAAAAACACACCUUUAAUAUGACAGGUCAUGGUGCUGUAAAUGUUCAGGAAUUUGAGGUGAGUUACAAUACCAGAUGGCUGUACGGAUUAUGCUAUUAAUUCCCAUAUGAAGAAGGACUUGAUUGUAAAGGUCAUCCUGUGUUUAACUAGCUUGAUCAUAAAAGACAAUUAGGCCUUGAAAAGAAAUUAGGCUGUGU